CCCUUAGAUGUUCUGGGCCGCACGCGUGCUACACUGAGUGGAUCAGCGGGUCAGGUUGCGCGAAAGCGUUUCCUAAUCUUUAAAUCCGCUCGUGAUGGGGAUAGAUUAUUGCAAUUAUUAAUCUUUAACGAGGAAUUCCUAGUAAGCGCGAGUCAUCAGCUCGUGCUGAUUACGUCCCUGCCCUUUGUACACACCGCCCGUCGCUCCUACCGAUGGGUGAUCCGGUGAAUGAUUCGGACUUCAGCGGCUCCCCUGGGGUGCGCCGGAGAAAGUUUUGUGAACCUUAUCACUUGGAGGAAGGAGAAGUCGUAACA
rnacentral:rRNA from 1 species